GAGGGGAACAAUUCCUACCGAUUAUAAAAUGGCAGGGGGGAAGCACCUAACAUGUCUCCUGUUUAUACACCUUACCCGGCCCCACCCUGUCACUCCUUCCUACACACCCCCACAUGCUCCUUAAUCCGGCUGGCUUUGCCUGCCUCCUCAGUACCUUGAGGUUUAGGAAUAUGAAGACAAUGAUCUGACAAUGUGCCCGAAACUCC